rnacentral:rRNA from 1 species
UACGUAGGGGGCAAGCGUUGUCCGGAAUCAUUGGGCGUAAAGAGCGUGUAGGCGGCCAGAUAAGUCCGCUGUGAAAUCUCGAGGCUCAACUUCGAGCUGUCGGUGGAAACUGUCUGGCUAGAGUCCGGAAGAGGAGAAUGGAAUUCCUGGUGUAGCGGUGAAAUGCGUAGAUAUCGAGAGGAACACCAGUGGCGAAGGCGAGUCUCUGGACGACUCCUGACACUGAGGCACGAAAGCUGGGGGAGCAAACAGG